rnacentral:rRNA from 1 species
GAGUUUGAUCAUGGCUCAGGAUGAACGCUAGCGGCAGGCCUAACACAUGCAAGUCGAGGGGGAGGUUACUUUCGGGUAACUGAGACCGGCGUACGGGUGCGUAACGCGUAUACAAUCUGCCUUUCACUGGGGGAUAGCCCGAAGAAAUUUGGAUUAAUACCCCAUAGUAUAGUAAUACGGCAUCGUGAUACUAUUAAAGCUUAGGUGGUGAAAGAUGAGUAUGCGUUCUAUUAGCUAGUUGGAGAGGUAACGGCUCCCCAAGGCGAUGAUAGAUAGGGGUUCUGAGAGGGAUGUCCCCCACACUGGUACUGAGAUACGGACCAGACUCCUACGGGAGGCAGCAGUGAGGAAUAUUGGACAAUGGUCGGAAGACUGAUCCAGCCAUGCCGCGUGCAGGAUGACGGCCUUAUGGGUUGUAAACUGCUUUUGUAAGGGAAGAAUAAGGACUACGUGUAGUUUGAUGACGGUACCUUAUGAAUAAGCAUCGGCUAACUCCGUGCCAGCAGCCGCGGUAAUACGGAGGAUGCGAGCGUUAUCCGGAAUCAUUGGGUUUAAAGGGUCUGUAGGCGGGCUUGUAAGUCAGAGGUGAAAGCGCUUAGCUCAACUAAGCAACUGCCUUUGAAACUGUUGGUCUUGAAUGGUUGUGAAGUAGUUGGAAUGUGUAGUGUAGCGGUGAAAUGCUUAGAUAUUACACAGAACACCGAUAGCGAAGGCAUAUUACUAACAAUUAAUUGACGCUGAGGAGCGAAAGCGUGGGGAGCGAACAGGAUUAGAUACCCUGGUAGUCCACGCUGUAAACGUUGGGCACUAGGUGUGGGGGGUCUUUCCGGGUCUUCCGCGCCGUAGCUAACGCAUUAAGUGCCCCGCCUGGGGAGUACGGCCGCAAGGCUAAAACUCAAAGGAAUUGACGGGGGCCCGCACAAGCGGCGGAGCAUGCGGAUUAAUUCGAUGCAACGCGAAGAACCUUACCAAGGCUUGACAUGUGCCGGUUGUCCUUCGGAGACGGGGGGUCCUCCCUAUUUGUGGGGGUCGGUUCACAGGUGGUGCAUGGUUGUCGUCAGCUCGUGUCGUGAGAUGUUGGGUUAAGUCCCGCAACGAGCGCAACCCUUGUCCCGUGUUGCCAGCACGUUGUGGUGGGGACUCGCGGGAGACUGCCGGGGUUAACUCGGAGGAGGGUGGGGAUGACGUCAAAUCAUCAUGCCCCUUAUGUCUUGGGCUUCACGCAUGCUACAAUGGCCGGUACAGUGGGUUGCGAUGUCGUGAGGCGGAGCGAAUCCCUUAAAGCCGGUCUCAGUUCGGAUCGGUGUCUGCAACUCGACACCGUGAAGCUGGAGUCGCUAGUAAUCGCAGAUCAGCAGCGCUGCGGUGAAUACGUUCUCGGGCCUUGUACACACCGCCCGUC